AUUGAACGCUGGCGGCAGGCUUAACACAUGCAAGUCGAGCGAGCGGCGGACGGGUGAGUAAUGUCUGGGAAACUGCCUGAUGGAGGGGGAUCACUACUGGAAACGGUAGCUACAUCCGCAUACAUUCACAUGUGCCCAGGUGGGAUUAGCUAGUAGUUGGGGUAAUGGCUCACCUAGGCGACGAUCCCUAGCUGGUCUGAGAGGAUGACCAGUCACACUGGAACUGAGACACGGUCCAGACUCCUACGGGAGGCAGCAGUGGGGAAUAUUGCACAAUGGGCGAAAGCCUGAUGCAGCCAUGCCGCGUGUGUGAAGAAGGCCUUCGGGUUGUAAAGCACUUUCAGCGGGGAGGCGUUACUAGCAGAAGAAGCACCGGCUAACUCCGUGCCAGCAGCCGCGGUAAUAC
rnacentral:rRNA from 1 species